GUGCUUAACACAUGCGAUCAAGUCGAGCGGAAAGGCCCUUUCGGGGGUACUCGAGCGGGAUCGCGAACGGGUGAGUAACACGUGAGUAAGCUAGGCCGGACUUUGGGAUAGCCACCGGAAACGGUGAUUAAUACCGGAUACGACACACUCUUGCAUGAGAUGUGUGUGGAAAGUUUUUUCGGUUCGGGAUGUGCUCGCGGCCUAUCAGCUUGUUGGUGGGCUAAUGGCCUACCAAGGCUUUGACGGGUAGUUAGCCUGAGAGGGUGACCGGCCACACUGGGACUGAGACACGGCCCAGACUCCUACGGGAGGCAGCAGUGGGGAAUAUUGGACAAUGGGCGGAAGCCUGAUCCAGCAACGCCGCGUGACAGUUGACGGCCUUCGGGUUGUAAACCUCUUUCAGCACCGACGAAGCUCCACUUGCUAGGUGGUUUGACGGUAGGUGCAGAAGAAGGACCGGCCAGGCACGUGCCAGCAGCCGCGGUAAUCGUAGGGUCCGAGCGUUGUCCGGAAUUAUUGGGCGUAAAGGGCUCGUAGGCGGUUUGUCGCGUCGGGAGUGAAAACAUCUGGCUUAACUGGGUGCUUGCUUUCGAUACGGGCAGACUGGAGGUAUGCAGGGGAGAACGGAAUUCCUGGUGUAGCGGUGAAAUGCGCAGAUAUCAGGAGGAACACCGGUGGCUAAGGCGGUUCUCUGGGCAUUACCUGACGCUGAGGAGCGGCAGGUGUGGGGAGCGAACAGGAUUAGAUGGCAUG
rnacentral:rRNA from 1 species